rnacentral:lncRNA from 1 species
GGAAAGGGUUUGGAACCAAGUAUUCUCUGGACUCAGGGACACCAGACAACUCUUGGGCCCGGACUGGGGGACAUCUCAGAAAUGAGGUUUCAGUGAAAGCCUGCACACCAACAAUAAGAAUCCCAGACCCUUCUCCAGUUGGCUCCCAGGAUACUGGUAGAGAAGUUUAUAUUUUGCAGGCAGAAGAUGGAAGGUUUUCUCUCCAAGGGAAAUGAUGAGCCCAAGAAGAAAAAGACACUGGAGGGAAGCUGCAACAUGAAACUCAGGGUUUAGGAGUACACAAACUUACCCCCUCUGGAAGCAUGUUACAAGAUGGGACUUUCCUGGCUUCAACUUCUUCUGCAAUGGUCUCCACAGACCCCACAGCCAAGUGAAGAAGAUCUUUGCAUGAACACGACCUUUCAGCUGGUGAAUCAGAUGACCAGAAAAAUUCCCCACAUCAGUUUUCUUUAUGGAGUGACCUACACACCAAGAAGAGCCGCUCAGCUCUCAAAACUGCUGUCAUGUAGAUACCUACGUGGAUAAACAAGUAAUGUUUCCACAAAACACUGCAGGUUAGGGCCUCUGCUCAUGGCAGGAUAGAGAAGGCAAAAUAAAGAGGGGGCUUUGGACUGUUGGUUUUGCGUCAUGUAAGCUUUUUUAGUGACCUUUAAUGGGGAGAGAGACUAGAUGCUGAGUUUAAUCACGUAAGACCAGCUCAAGACAAACGGCACAGUUUUGUUUCCUGUCUGGAAAGAAAAAAAAAAUUACUCAUGCACUAGCAGGAACUGAACGCUGAACACUCCUUUGGUGCUAGAUUUAUUGGAGGAUUUGACGACAAGAAUUUGCUUGUAGUUUUCCACCUUCCCUGUGCUAUUUUCUUAGCCAGUCAUUUUGAAUACUCCCCUUCCCCAUCUUUAUCCCCCAACCAUUCCUGUUCUUAAGCCAAAUAAAAAGAAAACAUCACUGAAAUAAAGACCCACGGUUCUGCUUUGACACACCAUGACCACAUUUUUAUACUAUUA